UACGAAGGGGGCUAGCGUUGCUCGGAAUUACUGGGCGUAAAGCGCGCGUAGGCGGGUCGUUAAGUCGGGGGUGAAAUCCUGGAGCUCAACUCCAGAACUGCCUUCGAUACUGGCGAUCUUGAGUCCGGGAGAGGUGAGUGGAACUCCGAGUGUAGAGGUGAAAUUCGUAGAUAUUCGGAAGAACACCAGUGGCGAAGGCGGCUCUCUGGACCACUACUGACGCUGAGGCGCGAAAGCUAGGGGAGCAAACAGG
rnacentral:rRNA from 1 species